UACGUAGGGGGCUAGCGUUGUCCGGAUUUAUUGGGCGUAAAGAGCGUGUAGGCGGCCAAGUAGGUCCGGUGUGAAAACUCGAGGCUUAACCUCGAGAUGUCAUCGGAACCAUUUGGCUAGAGUCCGGAAGAGGAAAGUGGAAUUCCUGGUGUAGCGGUGAAAUGCGCAGAUAUCAGGAAGAACACCAAUGGCGAAAGCAGCUUUCUGGGGACGGUACUGACGCU
rnacentral:rRNA from 1 species